GGCUUUGAGGGUUAAUGUGAGGUUGGUUCUGCUCAAUGAGUUUUAAAUUGCCGCGGUAAUUUGACUGUGCGAAGGUAGCAUAAUAAUUAGUUUAUUAAUUGUGAACUUGGAUGAAUGAUUUGAUGAUCAGAUGGCUUUCAUAGUUUGAUUAGAUUGAAUUUAAUUUUUGAGUUAAAAAGCUUAAGUAGUUUUGAGGGACGAGAAGACCCUAUAGAACUAAUAUAUGUAUUUUAUUGGGUGAUUUUGUUUUGAGUUAUAUUUARUGGUGUAUUUAUUUAGUUGGGGUGAUUAUCAUAAUAAUUUAACUUUGGUAAUGUUUAUAUAUUUGGGUAGUUAAUUUGAUCUUGUGUAUUGAUUAUUAGAUAAGUUACCUUAGGGUUAACAGCGUAAUUUUGAUGGAGAGUUCUUAUUAAUAUUGAAGUUUGCGACCUCGAUGUUGAAUUAAAGUUUAUUUUUGGUGGAGGGACUAAAAAUAUUAGGUCUGUUCGACCUUUAAAAUUUUACA
rnacentral:rRNA from 1 species